rnacentral:lncRNA from 1 species
CUGAUUUUUUUCAUAGCAUAAAAUGAUUUUAAUAUCCCUUCCCUUCUUUAGCCUUCCAUAUUACAACCCGUCCCAGCCGUAUUCAUCGGCCUAUUCCUGGCUUUCCUGUUUUGGUGUUUCGGUCCAUUGUGGUAGAGAAAGGUACAAGCAAUACUGUUGAGUCCUUGUCUGUUUGUCCCCGUCACCUAUUUGUGCCAUAUUUGUAAUAUAGUGCAUGGCAAAACCACACUGAUAUCUUGUUACCUGAAGCAAACCCUUCAUUUAGUAUGCCAUGUAUUUGUGUCAUACCAAUGAAUGAACAAUCAACUAAUCACAUAACAUUUUGUCUUGUUUCCUUUGUAGUAAUGCUAACCAUGAGUUAAUUCCAACCUAACCAGUUGUUAAUAUGCUUCCUUUAACUAAGUCUUUAUCUUUAGCAAACUGGAGUAAACAGUGAAUUUCUACAUUAGUACCCCUUCCCAAUUAUGUGUUUAAUCAGAUUUGAAUGAGAAAUGAAGAGUUUGCAUCUUUGAAGUCUUCAGCCAGCUUUCCUCCCCCUUCUUCUUUCUCCUUUACCUUUCAUAGCAUAGCGUUUCUCUGUUUCAACCCUUUGCCUGUUUGCACUUUAGCUAUGAAGAUGAAAGAGAAUGAAAUUGGCAUAAUGAACUAUUGGCUCACAAUCUCAAAUCCAAAUACAAUUUACCUGUAGGGAUCUGACCCCUAUCCCAUAUUUUUUUCUGAGUCCUGAUCUGCAAAUCAGAAUAUUUCUUUGAAAACCAACUUCUUCAACAAGACUCUUGGAACAAUAAAGGUACCAAUCAAAGCAAGUUUCAUUAUAAAGCCUUCUGAAAGUUAACAGGAAAUAGCCCAUUCAUACUUGCCUCUAACUGGCAUGCAUAUGAGUAGAACAUAUGACAUGGAUCACAUGACUUUAAUGACUUUAUUACAUUGGACAAGGUCUUUAUCAGAAGUAUCAGAUAGGCAGUGUCCAUAAUGGCACUUCCCCAUCUUGAACCUAUGUGAUUUUGUCUUCGUUGGUUUUAAGUUAGAGGAUCAAAGCCUAGACCAUCUUUUUCUAUCACCUAAGUCACCAAGCACUGUAUAACUAUCCUAACAGCUGAGCCUUGUUUUCAUAAAAGAAUAAAUAUUUUAGGAAGAAACAUACUAUAGGCAUCGGUUAUAUGUACAUCAGUUAUAUUGGAAUCUGUGGGUACCAGAGUAAAUAAAGCAGGCCAACCCCAAAGGAUUUUUAGAAGUCACUACUAUAUGUCAACUAUAACAAAGUUGAGAACUGCCCAGGACUUUUCUGGGAAGUAUUAGGCCUCCAAAUAAUGACCCUGCUAUUAUAUAGCUCUCCUUAUACUUGCACUCCUUCUCUCCUUUUUUUCUUUUCCUUUCUUUUUAUACUUUAUUCUUAAAAUGCAAAGAUAAAAUUUUUCCAGUAUUCUGUUAAGUAUUCAGGACUCUGUGGAACCAAGGGGUUAAUAGGAAUGAAAAGAGAGGGGAGAAUGUGAUAUUGACUCUUGGUUUCUUUCCACACAGAAACCCUGGCCCUGGAUGCCCAUGUUGGCUGCCCUGGUUGCGGUGACAGCCAUCGUGCUGUAUGUGCCAGGUCUGGCCAGAGCUUCUCCAUGAGAGCGUUUCUUGAGUCCGUACACCGUCCUCCCUCUAGAAGCUGGCAUCACACUCAUGCUGGGGACAAACAGAACCAUUUUCUUCUUUUUUACCUCUUAAAACAGCAGAAGUGCAAGAAUACAACUGUAGGGUCAUUGCUUUAAAUUAUAUAAAAUGUAUCUGUCUAUAGAGAGAAUAUAAAAUUGUGAGUUUAUUCUACUGUAAGCAAUAAUUUGCUUGCAAUUUUUCAUGUAAUUUUUAAAAAGUAUGUUGAGAUUCUGAAUAUUAUGGUGGCCUAAUGUAGGCUUCUUGGUACACCAAAUUAUUUAUACCAUUAAAUUUGUGGGUAUUUUACUCUGAAUUCUGAUGGCCAGAUAAUUCAUUUUUCUGAUUCGAUAACUACCCAAACCAAACAACCUAUACAUACAUGGGAAGAGAGGCCCUGUGUGCUCAGUGCCUAUCAGUUUGAAAUAUAUGCACAUAUAUAUAUAUUUUUUACAUAUUUACGCCAUUUUUACUUGUUAUAAAACCACUGAGCUAUUGGGAACAAGACUUAGAGACAACUCUUUGUGUGAGUUUUUUGUUUUGUUUUGUUUUGUUUUUAAGGGAAAAAAAACAUUUGGAAAAUAUUCCGUUUUAGUGAUCAUUUGGGGAGUAUGUGCACGCUUGUUCUGCCUUAAUGUGACUUGAAGAUGUGGAGGACAUCAACUUUGAAAAGCUUUCCAUGAGAGUGUGUAUUUUCUUGAGCGACCUGAAGUAUUUCUGGGAGCAAAACAUAGUAAUUACACAAUUUCAGUGCAGUCAACCAAACUGUUGAGUCAAUUGGAAUGUAAUUUUAUUAAACCUCAUGUAUUUAAAGAGAUAUUUUCUUUAUAAGCCAAGUUACUUUCUCAUAUACAACAUUUUAGGAAGCAUGAUUUUUUUUCUAUCAUCUGUUCCUCCAAGCAUGUUUCAUUGAAGAAAGAAUUAUAUCUCUUUAGAUAAGCUUUUAUUGACUUAAUUUGGUUAUGAUGUUUCAGAGCUAAUUCAUGUUCAAGGUGAGCUGUAACUUAACAACAGGUUUCUUGGUUGGGUAUGCAAGUGGUUAUUUUCUUUUUAUUGUUAUUAAUUGGAACUUUCUGUUAAUUAGAAGCACUAUUCCCAAGAUUGAUAGUGUUCCAUGCACAGUGAAGCACCUAAACACUGCUUGAUUUUAUAAAUUUAAAACACAUAAGUCAAAUUUUAGCUAUGGUUUUGUGCAGCACCAUAGUUAUGUCAAUAAAGUUUAUUUAGGUCAUAGAAUAUCCUAAAGUAUCACAUAGUUAAAAUUUUCAGUCAGUAAAGACUGGGAGGGAAUAUCAGUGAAUUGGCUUGAAGGUUCUGUGGGAAUUCACAGGUCUAGCCAAAUAUUGAAAUAGGAGUUUAGGAUAUAAUUUGCCUUGUGAUGUUUGGCAGUUAUUGUUUAUACUUAAAGGUUAUAUUUUAAGCUAUUUGGGGUUGCUGUUGGGAGGAUCACUAGAUUUAUGGAGGAAUUAGUCACAAAUGACUUAUAGAAAAUACUGUCAUAUAGUUCAUUUUCAUCAUUUUCUGUUGCAGGAAGCCACUCCACCACAGAAUGCUAAUAUGCCAGUGGUACCCAGUACCUCUUGUAUAUAGGUUAUUGCAAAUAUUGUUCUGAAAUGCUUAACUUCAGAAUUACAUUUUUUAAAGUAAAUAAUUGUUUGAAAUCUAUUUUGUAAAGAUAUAAAGUACAAUAGAAUUUCUGGAGUACAGAUUAAACUAUUUGCACUAACACACGUGA